GGUUCCGUAGCUCAGUUGGUUAGAGCGUUGGUCUUAUUUGCCGAAGGUCGCGGGUUCGAGCCCCGCCGGAACCA
rfam:Vigna angularis cultivar Jingnong 6 scaffold335_15, whole genome shotgun sequence.